rnacentral:rRNA from 1 species
UACGGAGGGUGCGAGCGUUGUCCGGAAUCACUGGGCGUAAAGGGCGCGUAGGUGGCCCGACCAGUCAACGGUGAAAGCUCGAUGCUCAACAUCGAGUCGGCCGUCGAUACUGUCGGGCUGGAGCACUGUAGAGGCUCAUGGAAUUCCGGGUGUAGGCGGUGGAAUGCGUAGAGAUCCGGAAAGAACACCGGUGGCGAAGGCGGUGAGCUGGGCGAGUAGCUGACACUGAGGCGCGACAGCGUGGGGAGCAACAGG